rnacentral:rRNA from 1 species
UACAGAGGUCUCAAGCGUUGUUCGGAUUCAUUGGGCGUAAAGGGCGCGUAGGCGGCCCGCUAAGUCGAACGUGAAAUCCCCAGGCUCAACCUGGGAACUGCGUCCGAUACUGGCAGGCUUGAAUCCGGGAGAGGGAUGUGGAAUUCCAGGUGUAGCGGUGAAAUGCGUAGAUAUCUGGAGGAACACCGGUGGCGAAGGCGGCAUCCUGGACCGGUAUUGACGCUGAGGCGCGAAAGCUAGGGGAGCAAACGGG